CCCUUAGAUGUUCUGGGCAGCACGCGCGCUACAAUGGUCUUCGCAAACGGAUGCAUUCUCGAAGGAGAAUGCCAAUCUUGGAAUCUAUGCCUUGGUCGGGACAGUUGCUUGCAAUUUUUCGACUCGAACCAGGAAUUCCUUGUAAUCGUGAUUCAUCACAUCACGAUGAAUACGUCCCUGCCCUUUGUACACACCGCCCGUCGCUCCUACCGAUUGAAUGAUCCGAUGAAUAUCAUGGAUUGAGGAUGCAAGUAGGUUAGUCUAUCUUCAUCUUCGAGAAGUGAAGUAAAUCUUAUCAUUUAGAGGAAGGAGAAGUCGUAACA
rnacentral:rRNA from 1 species